UGUAAUCUCGGCUCACUGUAAGCUCUGCCUCCUGGGUUCAAGCAAUUCUCCUGCCUCAGCCUCUCCAGUAGCUGGGACUACAGAUGGCCACCACCUGUAACUGUAAAAAGCCCUGAUAACAGCUGGAAAUAAGCACAGCAUUAAAGAGGAAAUCAGUAAAGGACCAUUAUCUAGAUUAUAUGGAAGAGAUUUUUAGUAAGUUUCAUUCUGAUGUUAGAAUGACACGAAGAUGGCUAUGAAAGCCUGUAAGCACUUUCCAAUAGUACUCUGCAUUUAUGACUCAAUUUAUGUGAGUUCUCUUCUACAAGGUUUGAAGAGCAAAUACCUGUUCACAGAGAUGGCAGUUGUUUUCUGAGAGACUGUGGGGUUUUCAGUUCUUUUGGCUCCUCUGAAACUCAUUUGACAUCUCUGAGAGUUUCCUCAUCUUUAAAGUAGGGAUGAUCUCAACAUUCCCUUGCUUAAUAGCAUAAGAAAAAGAUAGCAUCUCUUGGUACAAAAUCUCUUGGUUCAUAAAUUUUUUGAAUAUACAUGUAUAUUUGUAAUAUAUGUUUAUUCUCCAGGUGCAGUGGUGGGCACCCCAGCUACUCAGGAGGCUGAGGCAGGAGGAGAGCUUGAGCCCAGGAGUUCAGCCUGGGCAAUGUAGUAAGACCAUGUCUCUACAAAAAAAAAAAAAAAAAAUUAUAUUCUUUUAUAUUAUAUUACUUUUUAAAUUAAUACUUAUAUUUCAGGUCCAUACAUUAGAAGCUAACUCCCAUUUUUAAUUGCUGUGAAGUAUUCUGUGAAUGUACCUUAGUUUAUUUAAUCAAUCCUCUAUUGAUGGAACAUUGGAGGAAAUUAUUUUUAUUAAAUAACACUGCAGUGAACAUCUGUACAUGCA